rnacentral:rRNA from 1 species
UACAGAGGUCUCAAGCGUUGUUCGGAUUCAUUGGGCGUAAAGGGUGUGUAGGUGGCGCGCUAAGUCGGGUGUGAAAUUUCGGAGCUUAACUCCGAAACUGCAUUCGAUACUGGCGUGCUUGAGGACUGGAGAGGAGACUGGAAUUUACGGUGUAGCAGUGAAAUGCGUAGAUAUCGUAGGGAAGACCAGUGGCGAAGGCGGGUCUCUGGACAGUUCCUGACACUGAGACACGAAGGCCAGGGGAGCAAACGGG